rnacentral:rRNA from 1 species
UUAGGAAUAUUCGUCAAUGGGGGAAACCCUGAACGAGCAAUGCCGCGUGAACGAUGAAGGCCCUAUGGGCUGUAAAGUUCUGUUGCAUGGGAAGAACGACUAGGAUAGGAAAUGAUCUUAGUGUGACGGUACCAUGCCAGAAAGCUCCGGCUAACUACGUGCCAGCAGCCGCGGUAAUACGUAGGGAGCGAGCGUUAUCCGGAUUUAUUGGGCGUAAAGGGUGCGUAGGCGGCUUGUUAAGUAUGAGAUUAAAGCCCGAGGCUUAACCUCGGUUCGUUUCAUAAACUGGCAGGCUUGAGUAUGGCAGAGGUAAACGGAAUUUCUAGUGUAGCGGUAGAAUGCGUAGAUAUUAGAAGGAACACCAGUGGCGAAGGCGGUUUACUGGGCCAUAACUGACGCUGAGGCACGAAAGCGUGGGGAGCAAAUAGG